GUAUCUAUGUAAUUAGCAUCAAUAAAAAAUCUGUUCUUAUCAGCUUAAUAUCUGAUACGGGUCCUAUUUGGACCCAAGAUAUUAAUCUUAUUUUUGGAAUGCGGCGUAGUGCUUGAGGUUUACCUCACCUAUGCCACGGGUUGGCCCGGUAUUGCACUGCCUCCGGGAUCGGCCCACCCCCC
rfam:Ixodes scapularis strain Wikel colony gcontig_1108379716644, whole genome shotgun sequence.